UUACUAAGUAAACAGUCUAUAAAUGUACAUCCUGUCUAAAGAAGCAGAGAAUAUGAAACUGGAGAAUUCUCAAAACUGAAGACAACAGAAGGGUGAGGUCUCUGCAUCUUGGUCACCACUCAUGUGAAACUGCAAAGCAUCUCCUAUCAUAAAUACCGAGUCCUUGCUAGGAGCACCUCAUCUACUAGGAGUUAGGGUCUUCUUCCUCAGAGAGAUGUAUUUAUCGUAUGCUAUGUACUCACUGAGAUCCUUCCCAAACUGGCGUGUGAAGUCUGCAGUCAUUUUGAAUCCUGAUUCUGCCCCUUAGCUGUAUUAUCUUGGGUGAACUGCUUGAACUUACUCUCUGUGCAAGUUGGGCAUCACACUGGUUCUUAUCAAAGAGACUUGUUGAGAUGGUGGUCUGAAUGGAUAUUUUUUGUGAAGUACUUGGAAUACUUCCUAGUUGCAGGAGGCAAUUUCAUAGAGUAAAUCAAAAUAAAUAAAAUAAAAUAAAUAAAAACAGUGAAUAAAAAAAAUAAAUUAAAUAAAAAGAGUACACCUCCCCAAAAGUAGCAAUAAGGCAUCCGAAAAAAUCAUCUUGUGUUCAUGCCAAAAUCUUAAUCAUCUAGGCAAUGAACAGAACCAGUUUUUGU